GAUGAACGCUGGCGGCGUGCCUAAUACAUGCAAGUCGAGCGAACAGACGAGGAGCUUGCUCCUCUGACGUUAGCGGCGGACGGGUGAGUAACACGUGGAUAACCUACCUAUAAGACUGGGAUAACUUCGGGAAACCGGAGCUAAUACCGGAUAAUAUAUUGAACCGCAUGGUUCAAUAGUGAAAGACGGUUUUGCUGUCACUUAUAGAUGGAUCCGCGCCGCAUUAGCUAGUUGGUAAGGUAACGGCUUACCAAGGCAACGAUGCGUAGCCGCCCUGAGAGGGUGAUCGGCCACACUGGAACUGAGACACGGUCCAGACUCCCACGGGAGGCAGCAGUAGGGAAUCUUCCGCAAUGGGCGAAAGCCUGACGGAGCAACGCCGCGUGAGUGAUGAAGGUCUUCGGAUCGUAAAACUCUGUUAUUAGGGAAGAACAAAUGUGUAAGUAACUAUGCACGUCUUGACGGUACCUAAUCAGAAAGCCACGGCUAACUACGUG
rnacentral:rRNA from 1 species